AAAUACCUGCAUACUAUAUCAUAAUGAGCUAGUAUGCAUAGCAUACUAGCUCAUUAUGUAAUACCACUGAUCGGCGAAAACCUCGCUGCGGUGGCCGACACAACGGCUGGCGACAUGUAAUCCCGCUGUUAAACGUGCAGGUUUAGCGUCUCUGGGCAAUCACAGCGCAAAACCCGGAAGUAACUCCGGGCCUACAUGCUGCUGCCCGAUGAUGUGUCGGCCACUGCAGCGGGGGCUUUGAUCGCAGGUGAGUAUUACAUAAUCAGCUUCUAUGCUAUGCACGCAGGUCUGCCAGUCCUGGCAUGACCACCUUAAGAAAAUGCACGAUCGUUCUAAAUUAUCCCCUAAACCAUGAAUGGAGGUAUUUCAAGCACCUACAUACAGGUAAGCAUUAAUAUAGUCUUCCAGGUAGCUAAAAGUACUAUAUAUUUAUUCAUUUCUGUUGAUAUAUCUAUUUUGAAUCCUGACAUGCACUAUGUUUGUUUUUGUUGAUUUUAUUAUUUCCCAUCACAUCUUACAACUUGCAAACGUUUGAAUUGAAGUAGAUCUAUGCAUAAGGGUAAUAAUAAUAAUAAUAAUAAUAAUAAUAAUUAAUAAAUAAUAAUAGUUUUUGUUUACAUUCACAAAUCCAAUAUCUACUACCACCGUUUGCAAGAAUGUUAUCAACCCAAGCUGGGGUUAGUUUGUUUAUUUUUCAUUCGUUUUUGGAGUAAUGUUUUGACUCCUUGGCUCUGAAAUUAAGCCACAAAAAAAAAAAGCUACCAUUCCAUAAAGAAACCUACUCCACAAUUCCACGGCUCGCAAUACUCCCACAAACACUGGGGCUCUCCUCCUACUGUGCUCUUGCUGCAGUGCAGACUGCUGCCACCUGCCCUCAAAGAAGAAAUAUUACAGUUCACGUUUGGAAGACAUCUCACCACACUAUGGAUUUAAUCCUGGUUAAGUAUGUUGCCUGUGGCACCCUUAAACACGUGAGUGGCUUAUCAAUUUUCCCCUACUCACCUUCCAUCAUUCCAUUAAUUAUUUCUUCUAAUUUAUAUCCCUCUCUCUUUUUUUGCAGUUGCAAUUUACUGACGUCAUGUCUCACAUGCAUGCCUAACAUUGGACCUGGAUGUGGAUGAGGAGGAAGCAAAUAGAAAAACACAUGAGGUUUUUUCAGCACUUCAUAGUUUUUUGACAUCGAAAUAAUUUCUUCUAUGCCAUUGUCAGUGUAUCACCUCCACACUUCCCAGAGCUACAAAUCUAAACUCAUGCUUUAUCUUGGCCCUGGUAUUUUGAUUCCAUUCUGACCACCAGGGAUCUGAAUGCUGCUCAGCUCCAUGCAAGAUAACAUAUUUAUCAGCAUAUGACACGCACAUUUAACUCCUGAAAAGCUUUCUGUUAAAGACGGAAGAAAGAGUGAAGAUAAUGUUGAAGAUAAAGUUCUUAAAGGGUCCCAGUAGGUUGCAGUUUGCGCAGUCCUCCUUGAUAUAUCAAUCCCCCUUCAAAUCACAGUGUCCCUUUCACAGUCACGUUCUAAAGGUAUGAGGUGUCAUUUUUGUACGAAUUUUUAAAUUGAACUUUUAGGUGUAUUACAUGAAAAUGCCUAUGUGUAAAUAGGGUACAUGAUGAUAAUGGAGUUAGUGCUGUGUCCUGUUUCUUCCCAGAUCAUGCACUUACCCUGAGGAGGAGCAAUGGUCCUGCCAGAAGCCGAUGCUGGAGGGUCUUGAAUGCAGCUUUCUGUUAAAGACGGAAGAAAGAGUGAAGAGUCAAGCUCUAUGAUUUUGACCCCUGCUGCUGAAUCCAGGGACAUCCUCUGCCAGAAGGACAUCUCUUAGCUCCGCCUCCCACUCUCGCAACUUGAUAGGCUUUCCUCGGUUUUGUCCUAGUCGAAGCCUCUGCAUCUUCUUUGUAACCGUUGCCCGACAAUCAUAGAACCUGCAAAUGUACAUAAACAUUACAAUUACAUUAAUAAAAAAACAAAUACUUAGAU